rnacentral:rRNA from 1 species
UAGGGAAUCUUCGGCAAUGGGGGCAACCCUGACCGAGCAACGCCGCGUGAGUGAAGAAGGUUUUCGGAUCGUAAAGCUCUGUUGUAAGUCAAGAACGGGUGUGAGAGUGGAAAGUUCACACUGUGACGGUAGCUUACCAGAAAGGGACGGCUAACUACGUGCCAGCAGCCGCGGUAAUACGUAGGUCCCGAGCGUUGUCCGGAUUUAUUAGGCGUAAAGCGAGCGCAGGCGGUUUGAUAAGUCUGAAGUUAAAGGCUGUGGCUCAACCAUAGUUCGCUUUGGAAACUGUCAAACUUGAGUGCAGAACGGGAGAGUGGAAUUCCAUGUGUAGCGGUGAAAUGCGUAGAUAUAUGGAGGAACACCGGUGGCGAAAGCGGCUCUCUGGUCUGUAACUGACGCUGAGGCUCGAAAGCGUGGGGAGCGAACAGG